UACGUAGGGUGCGAGCGUUAAUCGGAAUUACUGGGCGUAAAGCGUACGCAGGCGGCUAUGUAAGACAGGUGUGAAAUCCCCGGGCCUAACCUGGGAACUGCAUUUGUGACUGCAUAGCUAGAGUCCGUCAGAGGGGGGUGGAAUUCCACGUGUAGCAGUGAAAUGCGUAGAGAUGUGGAGGAACACCGAUGGCGAAGGCAGCCCCCUGGGCUGACACUGACGCUCAGGCACGAAAGCGUGGGGAGCAAACAGG
rnacentral:rRNA from 1 species